GAUGAAGAACGUAGUGAAAUGCGAUAAGUAAUGUGAAUUGCAGAAUUCAGUGAAUCAUCGAAUCUUUGAACGCAUCUUGCGCUCCUUGGUAUUCUGAGGAGCAUGCCUGUUUGAGUGUCAUUAAAUUCUCAACUACACUGACUUUGAAUUGGUGUGGCUUGGAUUUGGGGGGAAAAUUGUUGUGGGCUUUUUGUAUAGUCUGCUCCCCUGAAAUUGAUUAGCGGUACCUUUGUGGAACUGUCUACAGGUGUGAUAAUUAUCUACAUCUUAGACAUCUGCUGGAAUGCUGCUAUCUAAACCUUACUUGUAUUGACAAUCUUGACCUCAAAUCAGGUAGGACUACCCGCUGAACUUAAGCAUAUCAAUAAGCGGAGGA
rnacentral:misc_RNA from 1 species